GCAGGGGCGGAUCCGUGCAUGGCAGGGGUUGGGGAGGCUGAUCCGAAAGCGGGCGGCGAGGCGGGGGUCGCCGGUGGCGACGAGGAAAGCCGGAGUGAGGGAUCCGGCGACCUAGGCAGGAGCUCGCCGGAGCUAGGCGACGGCAGACGGGCGCGUGAGACGGAGGGAUCCGGCGUGGCAGCACGAAUUCCUUGCAGGUAGAUAGCUCCAAGCCAUGCCGGCUCUUCAGUUUUCCGUGGUGGAAAAGAGAGAAAGAGGAGGAUUCAGGGAGGAGGAGAGGUAGGGAGAAGAAGGUGCGGGUGCGAGCUUGGGGAAGAGGGAGCAGAACGUCAAGGGAGAGACUAGGAGGAUCAGGGAUUCUUCUUAGCCAGCAUGUAUAUGAUUUAUGCAGCAGAGAGGAGGCUGCAAGGGGAGAGGAACGGUGCAUUGAGGUUGAGGUACACAGGACACAUCGGGACCCGGGAGCUCGAGAAGAGGCUCGAUCGAUUUUGACAAGAACUGACUAUAUAUAGUGCAGAGAAGAUGAACCAUGCAAAAACUCAGGCUGGACCACCGGGGCUUCACUGCUGGCAGAACAGUAGAGGGCUUGGCUGCUACCAGGGUGAUCCAAAUGGAGCGUGUUUGUGGCCUCUUGCACUACAUGAUUAAUGGUAGCUUCUAUUACAUGACAUGAUUUUUGCAGCUGACAUGUUUCAUGCGAGAGGACAUAAAUUUGCAUCCUAUUUUUCUGUCCAAUUGGUUCCAAAUCACAAAUGUUUGUGCUAUCAGUGACAAUUUGAUGGAAAAGACGAGUCAUAUAUACAGCCAAUGAAAGC